rnacentral:lncRNA from 1 species
UUUUUGCUAAAUUAAGGUCAAUAAGUAAAUUUUUUAAGUAUUCGUUUACUUCAGCAAACAAAAACAAGAGUUAAAAUACGAAGUAUUAUAGUCACGUGAUACAUCCCCUGCGCCAGGAAGUGGCUCGACGUGAUAAACCGAACGGUCCGGCCGGAGGACAAGGAAGCGUGGAAGAAGGAAGAACUGCCGAAGCUGCCGAAGCAACGUUCGCGGGAAGUCUAACCGCCUGAAGCACGUUGCAGAGUCGAGACCAGUUGAGCGGCCGGAAUUUUACGAACGAUUAUGCAAGCGUACGUCUUGAGGACGACCAUGAGCCACAUAUCAUCUCAAAUUUCUGCCCGUCAAGCCUUGUGACGAAACGGAAUCGGACUUCUUCCAAGGCGCGGAUCCUAAAGUUGUUUGGAUCGCAGAGUGACGCGGAAACCCAGUGACAGUAAGCGGGUGCUAGUACCUCCGACGAGAUGAGUGACUGCCCGGGAGGGCUGGAGGAAGCUGGUAUGAGACAGGUAAUUGUAAUUUCAUUUUCGCGCUUGCGAAGCAAUUCAUAAGACGUAUUUUAAAUUUGAGAUUUUCUUUAGUUAUGCCGCCACAAGUACAAGGAAUUUCAUCGAUAGGGGUGCCGUGUGUUUGUUUUCAUAUGCCCAGAAACUAGGUAAAGGUUAUGUGUUUUAACAUUUUUUCUGUGCUGAUAGGCUUAAGGUUGGAAUGAAUUAUAUCUGUCAAGGCGUGGCGCAGUGUGUGUCUAUUUGGAGAAGAGGUAUGUGUGUGUGUGUGUGCGUGCGUGCGUGCGUGCGUGUUCGUUUGUCAGUUCGUUGGGGGAGAGAGAGAUGAAGAAGAGGAGGAGGGUGAGGGAUCACGUCGAAUCAUUCAAAUCGUUAACUCUGACAGUAAUGAGGUAAGAAGGAUACCUGCUAGUUACACCGGUUCGGUUUUGUGCCAAACUCAAAUUGCGUUUUGCCGCGUAAAUAUUGCUACAAUUUUUUUUUUCAUCUACAAAAUUAAUUUUGAGGCAUGCCGUUGACAAAUAGGACCCCUGUUUUCAAUCCCAGUCCAGGUUAUUCGCGACUCCAGCGAACUAUAGAUGGCGCGCUGCUCAGGCAAAAUUCGGACGAAAGAAGGUCGUUUUCGUUGUUCAGCAUGCGGACCAUCACAAAUUCCUGCACUGCAGCGUAAAAUCGGUGUUACAUUUGAAUGCAAAGCUAUUUUUCGACCCUAGAAACGUUUGUCUACUCAGUGCGUAGGAAGGACCCGGUGGAAUCAUUAAAAUAAUUACUGGAAACAAUGUUUGUUUCUAUGCUGCCUACGAGAACCAAGCAGCGAUAGCGGACGACAGAGUCGGGAGAACCUCCUCUCCUGAGCUUCUCGGCGCUGCCGCUACGCGGCGUCGAUUUCACUAGAGUCACGAAUAAUGCGCUGGUAAAUUUCCUGUACAUAGUGCUGCUUCAAAGAGGAACUGAACUUUAUGUCUUCUAUGUGUGCAUUGGCAAUGGCAUGUGGCUCAACAAGACUUCCCACACGAAAGUUCUCAAAUAGAAAAGGGAAUCAAUGUUCAUCCGGUAAGGUUUGGUAAUUAUCUCCGCCACAGAUGGCCUCCUUGGCGAAUUGUAACCGGCAGACCUUCAGACCGCACAAAGGCUAAGCAAAGCCACAACUGGAUGCAGCAAGACUAAAAGCUUUAUAAUAUACUGUAAGGACUAUGGCUUUAUAAUAAGCCUUUUAUAGCAAAACAUACUGAUCUGAAAAGCGUUGUUUGUGGUUAUUUUAAAGUGGUGUACGGAAACUUCGUCGUAUUGUAUUAAUUCUGGUUCACUGCACAGUUAAAAGGUUUGUCUUCGUUUGCUGCCAGAGAAAUAUAGCUUGCGAUGAACCAAAUCAAAGUUAUGAUUGCUGGUGUCAUGUACAUAUUCAGAACUUUUUUUAAUUAAAAUAAUUGUAAUCAAGUUUUUUAUGGGUUUUAGCACUGUGAUUAAGAUGCGUCAAUGUGUUUUCUAAGAAAGACUACUAAUUUGCAGUUUGUGUCUUCUCCUAAAAUAGUUUGUAGAUCUGAGCAUGUAUUCAUACCUGAAUAUGUGCCAGGCAUUCCCCAGUAUGUGUAUAAUUGUUUACUAGGCCUGUAAGCUUCCCCACUACGUCAUUGCCGCUAUGUUAGCGCUUCCCAGCUAUUAUUCGAGAGAGAUAAGUGUUUCUCAUGAUCAAUUAGGUUGAGAUUGUUUAGCGUUAAUGUUUUUGAGUCCCCCAUUUUUAAUUCCUGACAGAGCGCUUCAAUGUCCGGUUAUUUUUGGUUUGCCGCUAUUUAUCACCACAAGCAAAAACAUCACGCCACUGGGAUUAACCUGAAGCUCACCUCAUGAUUAACGACGCUGCCGUCCACUGUCUUAAGGUGGGCCUACGUUCAUGGGUACUUGUCUAGUGGUUCUGGAGUUGAUGUUGCUGAAAUAACCGAGACGCCGAUUUCUACGAUGGCCUCUGUCAGCAUCAUGGUCAAUUACAGCUGGCCCGAGCCCGAACCAGGCCAAUCAACGUGCUGGCCCGAGCCCGGCCCGGGCCCACAGUCAAAAGUCUGAGCCCAUCCCAGGCCUGGGCUUUCGGCUCAGCAAAGUCUGCGGAUCUGGUUAUGCUUCCUGUACGAGACAGAUCACGAAGCGGUUGCUGACUGACCAGUUGGGGCGAAAAUUUUUGUGGGAAGGACGUAAGAGAAAGUUGACAUUCAGGAACCUUCACCUUGCUGAGUGCAUCAUAA